rnacentral:lncRNA from 1 species
CCAAGUGAAAGUCAAACACUUUAUUCUUCACCUUUAAGUGUGUUGUUUCUAGAUAUUUGUGGUCUAUAACCCAUACUGAAAAUACUGUACACACACCAGAAAAAAGUUAUGUGUUAUAAUACCAAACAUUUUAUUAACAUCUGUGCUUUAUAUAAUUUAAAAUAGGCAUAGGAGAAACAAAUGCAGAAAAAUGCUUACCAUCCACUGACAGAUGUAAACCUACAAUUUGAGAUAUGCUGCUCUGUCUAGACAGAACACUGAAAUGUGGGGCAUAUUCAUUUCUAGAACUAAAUGAUAUGAUUACUUAAUGGCUAGGCUUGUGGCUAUGUCUGUUUAACUAUUCUUGGCAAUCAUUUUUUUCUGUUUUUUUAAUCAAAGAAGCAGCUUUAUGCUUUUAAUGAUUUCUUCAAUGUGUCUUUUUUAUAUUUGUUAAUUUCUGUUAAUAUUUACUAAUCUCAAGCUUUCUUUUUUAUUGUAUUGCAUUUUCAAUCUUAUUUAAUCAUAAUCUGGUUUAUUUAUUGCCUUUUUACUGUCCUGAAAGUCAGUUCAUUUCUAAGUGGCAUAUAGUUUUCAUUUUUUAUUUUCUUUUAAAAAUAAGAAUUACUAUUUCAGAGUACUUACAAGUGGCUAGAUGGACAUACUCAUUUUUACAAUAUCCUAGUAUUCAGCUUUUUAUCUUAUAGAAUUGUAAUCAAUGUAUUUUGUGAUUUCUUCCAUUUUAGUUCAUAAAGUGUAGUUUUGAAUGUGAUUAAGCUUGAAUCUUAAAGUAUUUAAUGUGAAUGUAUAUAUAUAUCUAUUUUAGUAAUAUGCCAAGAUUAACACAGACUUGUAAAAUUUUAUAUUUUCUAUAUAGUUAUUUUAUUC